UACAGAGGGGGCGAGCGUUGUUCGGAAUUACUGGGCGUAAAGGGCGCGUAGGCGGCCUGCUAAGUCGGACGUGAAAUCCCUCGGCUCAACCGGGGAACUGCGUCCGAUACUGGCGGGCUUGAAUCCGGGAGAGGAAUGCGGAAUUCCAGGUGUAGCGGUGAAAUGCGUAGAUAUCUGGAGGAACACCGGUGGCGAAAGGCGGCGAUUCUGGGCCGG
rnacentral:rRNA from 1 species